GCCACUGACAAGAGCAAUCUGAACCUCACUGCCAAUGAUCUCUGGGGUCACAAACAUGUUUCUGCAUUGAAGCAUAAAACACGGAAUCUGCCACCUGGCUCUGUGGAGCAAAGAAGUACCCAAGAGACACCAACAGUGUCAAUUAGUCCCAUUCCACCAAUGUCAGGCCUAUUGAUUCUAAGUUAAGCAACCAAUUUGCAAGGAAGAUCCCAUUCAGUCUGAAAGCAGCCCAGAGAUAACCAGUCAGACAGCGCAACUGAAUUGUCCAACUAUCCACCUUGACUGCCCCGGGCCAAAUACAGACGUCCCCUGUAUGUCACUCCAAAUGGAGACUCUGCCAGACUUUAGUGUUAUAAGUGGAGAAACUUCACCUCUUUCAGACAGCGGUCAUUCAUCUACACCAUCACAGCACAGUGGUAUCAGUGGGGAGCCCAGAGCCAAGCGCUGGUCCUCUAACCCAAUAACCAUGCGCACCCAUAUUUUAAAACCCAGCCAUCUGGGAUUCAAUGGGCAGAAGUCCUGCUCCCCAAUUUUGAGUCCCAUACGUGCUUCAAAGAUCUUCAGGAUUCAAGAUGAAACUUUACCGAACUGCACCGGAGAAAGUUUAUUUGAGGACACUAUAGACCCCUGCUUUUUGCCUAUGGUGGAGCCCACUGUUGGCAGCUCUACAAUGGCUUUGUCACACACACCUCCGGAGACUUGCAUUUCUAUGAAAGAGAGUUUCACUAAACCAGAGGAUGCAAAUAAAGAUUUGCAAAGGGGCUCUAAUUUUAGUCUCAGUUUGCAGGGAAGUCCAACAGCUCUCAGGGAGACUAUAUCAACCAGUAGCUGUUCCAGAGCUUCCCUGGAGGGCACACAUGACAUAUCUGCAUUCGAGGGCAGCAAAGAAAGUCUGCAUUCCUUAGAACAUAAGGUACAGAACCUGACGACCGAGGUUGCUGUGUCUGUUGUGGUGCAAAAAUCAAGUGUUGCCUCUUCCUGUCUCUCAAAUGCUAAUGUCACAUACAUAAUUUGCCCUGAUAGUGAGAUGUCUGCGUCCUAUACGGUGCCAUUGUCCUCGUCAACAUCUGGUUCCUUGUGUGAUGACAAGAGGGUGAACAACGUCACCUUUGAACUUAUGGUUGAACCAACACUGGAGCCCAAAACUGGGACCAACGAGCCCAAUGUCACGACUACUGCGCUGGAGGCUGUGGAGAUUAGUAGGCCAAUGAAAGACACUUUUGAAGCUUGCCGUCCUAUGAAGUUCAAUGCAAUCACUGAGCAAGAGACUUAUGAUGGUACCAAACAACCUCUAAAUAAUACUUUUCAAACUAACCCUCAUGUAAAUGCAACCACUGAGCCAGUGACCAUUGUUGGCAAUGCACGCCCCCCUUUUCAAACUGACCACGAACCAACAAAAAGUGCUGAAGUUGAUGUCCGUGAACAUAUGGUACAGUCCCAACCAGGCCCGUCCGGGAGAGAUGGUGACCCCUUCACCUUGGAUGAUACUCUGGCGUUGGGUCCCAACUUUCUGCUGACAUCCACUCCCAUGGUUACAUCUACGGCUUUAAGGAAACCAAAGAGACACUCAGAUGUGCGGAAAAAGUUAUCUUCGGGCAUCCUGCCAAAACCAGCUAAACCACCUGCUGUCUCUAAACUUGCCACUUAUAGGAAGAUGUUCCUUCAGCCCCAGGGUGUCACCUCCAAACCCAAAUCACUGCUACCCCCACUGAGAUCUGUGUCCCAGCUUCCAUCAUGGACUCGCCCACCAAAGACCAAGACAGUCCCCGUGGCUUCAGCCCCCUCGGAGCCAUCCUCUGCCAUACCCAGCAGAAGAUGCAAAACACGAGCAGAUGCCUUGGGACAUGCUGCGGUCACUGUUUCUCAGCAGGCCUCGACAGAUGAUACUUCCAGUUGUAGGCGUAGCACAAUUGCAGAAUCCAAGCUGAUGAGCACUGGCCUGAGGAAACCUCAAUCCUAUGGCACUCAGAGAUCCAUAGCUAGCCUCAGGCAUCCUGCAGUAAGAGCUAUGGCAACCUGCUCCACUGAAAACCCCAGCCUCUCUUCAGGUUUAAAUGGAAGGAGUCUACAAGCACCCAACCAAGGCCAGAAGCACUUGCCAACCAGCAGUGAUGCUUUUCCUGUAGCAAAGAGGAAAAAAAUAGGUGAAGGGUGUGCAAACUAUGUGCUACUUCAGCAAGAACUGGAGACGUGUCGUCAAGAAAAUGAGAGACUGCGAGCAGGGUGUGCAAACUAUGUGCUACUUCAGCAAGAACUGGAGACGUGUCGUCAAGAAAAUGAGAGACUGCGAGCAGGUAUUAUUCAAAUGGAACAUUUCUAUCAUGUUUUUUCUUUGGGGGGGGGGUUACAGCCUACAGUUGAAUGGAGGGAACCCUGCCUACUGAGAUUUACCAUCCAAAACAAUUCCCUUUUCCCGGGAUAA
ensembl:lncRNA